UUUGGGAAUGUAGUUCAGUGGCAGAACAUUUGCCUAACAUAUAAGCGGCCCUGGGUUCAAUUCUCAGCACAAAA
rnacentral:tRNA from 1 species